UACGUAUGGUGCAAGCGUUAUCCGGAUUUACUGGGUGUAAAGGGAGCGCAGGCGGCGCGGCAAGUCUGAUGUGAAAGCCCGGGGCCCAACCCCGGGACUGCACUGGAAACUGCCGUGCUGGAGUGUCGGAGGGGUAAGCGGAAUUCCUGGUGUAGCGGUGAAAUGCGUAGAUAUCAGGAGGAACACCGGUGGCGAAGGCGGCUUACUGGACGGUGACUGACGCUGAGGCUCGAAAGCGUGGGGAGCAAACAGG
rnacentral:rRNA from 1 species